rnacentral:rRNA from 1 species
AACGAACGCUGGCGGCGCGUCUUAAACAUGCAAGUCGAACGGCAAAAGAGGGGCUUGCUUUUUGAGAGUGGCGGACUGGUGAGUAACACGUGGGUGACAUACCUUUUAGUUGGGGAUAGCUAUUAGAAAUAGUAGGUAAUACCGAAUGUGACCGUAUUUAUUAGAAGGAUACGAGGAAAGGAGCUAAGGCUUCGCUAAAAGAAUGGCUCGCGGCCCAUUAUGCUGGUUGGUGAGGUAACGGCCCACCAAGGCGAUGAUGGGUAUCCGGCCUGAGAGGGUGAACGGACACAUUGGGACUGAGAUACGGCCCAGACUUCUACGGGAGGCAGCAGUUAAGAAUAUUCCGCAAUGGACGCAAGUCUGACGGAGCGACGCCGCGUGGAUGAAGAAUGCCGAAAGGUUGUAAAAUCCUUUUAAGCCUGAUGAAUAAGUACAAUAGGGAAUGAUUGUGCGGUGACCGUAGGGCUUGAAUAAGCACCGGCUAAUUACGUGC